rnacentral:rRNA from 1 species
CCUACGGGGGGCAGCAGUGGGGAAUAUUGCACAAUGGGGGGAACCCUGAUGCAGCAAUGCCGCGUGGGUGAAGAAGCACUUCGGUGCGUAAAGCCCUGUCAGCAGGGAAGAAAAUGACAGUACCUGACCAAGAAGCCCCGGCUAACUACGUGCCAGCAGCCGCGGUAAUACGUAGGGGGCAAGCGUUAUCCGGAUUCACUGGUUGUAAAGGGAGCGUAGACGGCUGAGCAAGCCUGAAGUGAAGGCGGGGGCCUAACCCCCGGACUGCUUUGGGAACUGUACGGCUAGAGUGCAGGAGAGGUAAGUGGAAUUCCUAGUGUAGCGGUGAAAUGCGUAGAUAUUAGGAGGAACACCAGUGGCGAAGGCGGCUUACUGGACUGUAACUGACGUUGAGGCUCGAAAGCGUGGGGAGCAAACAGGAUUAGAUACCCGAGUAGUC